rnacentral:sRNA from 2 species
CUACUUUAAUCGCUGAGUUCUAUAUUAAGAUAGAAGCGGGGGACCCACUUUUUUGGGGCGAGUGAAAACAUAGUACUGCUAUAUUUUCUAAGGUUACCUUUAACCUGAGUCCGACAGCUAACCUCGUAAGCGUUGAAAAGGGGUAGG